rnacentral:rRNA from 1 species
UACGGAGGGGACUAGCGUUGUUCGGAAUUACUGGGCGUAAAGCGCACGUAGGCGGCUUUGUAAGUUAGAGGUGAAAGCCCGGGGCUCAACUCCGGAAUUGCCUUUAAGACUGCAUCGCUAGAAUUAUGGAGAGGUAAGUGGAAUUCCGAGUGUAGAGGUGAAAUUCGUAGAUAUUCGGAAGAACACCAGUGGCGAAGGCGACUUACUGGACACAUAUUGACGCUGAGGUGCGAAAGCGUGGGGAGCAAACAGG